UAACAGAAGACAGUCAUGUCUCCAAGUUCUCCUGGAGUAGUUUCUACUAAUUAAUACUCGACAAUGCCUUUCUAGACGGCCUGGAAGCCCUGGACAGCGUUUCAUCAAGCAGGGAAGAUGAACCAGGCCCACCUUGGUUUUGCUCAAUGCCGAUACAAAUUGUUGAAGAGGACUCUGAGGAUGAUGGCCAUGAGCGUGAUCUGCUGAGCAUGGAAGCAGUAACGUUAAGCUGCAGUUCACCACCAGGCCAAGUAUGGUGAAAACAUGAGAGAGCCUUAGAGCAGAGGGAAAACAAGCUCAGAAGAAAAAGGAACGAGACAGCUGAAAGGGAAAAUUCACCAGCAUCAGUGACUGAUGGAUGGAAGAAGCCCAGUAAAUAUAUUU